GGGCUUGUGGCGCAACGGUUAGCGCAGGGGACUCAUAAUCCCUGGGUUCUGGGUUCGAAUCCCGGCAGGCCCACCA
rnacentral:tRNA from 2 species